UACGUUCUCUCAUAUAAAAUCAAACAAUUCAUAUAAUUUUUGUAUCAGAAAAGCUGGUUUGGUUAAUCAGCCAUGUUGAGUCCUAAUGCUGAUAUUGCUCAAGUUUACGUAUUGAGGAAACUCCAUAAAGAGAAGAAGACGAAGAGACUCGAAAAUCAAGAAAAAGCAUCACCAAAAAGCAAUUCUGGUGUUGGAUCUUGUGUCGUGUUCGACAAAGUUCGGCCAAUUUCUAUGCCAAAGUCAAAUUCUUAACUCGACCGAGCUAAGCUUUAUCAAAAUCAGACGAGAGAGAGGGUUUUAUUAGAAUAAUGAGUGUAAUUAUUAUGUCUUCUCUGGUUCUUCCAUUUGAUGGGAGUUGUAAGUAGAUUUUCAUGUAUGGUUUUCUGCAAAUGAUAAUUUCAUUUGCUAUAUUUAGAACAACUUGAAAUUGAAUUGAUUAAUAAUUAUAACUUCAAUUACAUGUCUAAU
rnacentral:lncRNA from 1 species